AUAGUCUCUUCCUCCUCCCCUUCCCCCUCCUUUUCGCUUGCUCCACACCAGGUGUGGGUCAUCUCGCGGCACUAAUUGCGGGGUGGAGCCGCUAGCCUUUUAACUGCUCCGGUGUGUGUGUUUGCUCAGUGUGCUACCUUGUCUCCCUCGGGGCUGGCGUCCGUGUGUGUGUCGGCGUUCCAUGUGCUUUGAACCGUGUGGCGGUUGGCGUUGCCGAUUUCGCCAGGUCUUCUCCAUCUCUCCGAAAAUUUGAGGCUGUCGGCUGGCUGCGGCUGUGUGGGACUGGAGGUCGUCUACGCUGUUGUUCGCUCUCUCCAGGUAUGUCGGCUCAGUUCACCCAACGGCAGCUGUAGUCCAGCUCGCUAGUGGCUGCUAUCCGGCUAGCCGCUAAACUUUCUUUUUGUGGUCUCUCAGCAGCGUUUAGCUGCGGCCUGCUGCUCUCCCUCUCCUCCCCGGCGGAGACGCUGUGCCUGUGCUCUGUGCUCUGUGGUAGGUGGCCUGUAGCCAGGUUACGCCUGGUCAUUCACAUGGUAACCCACAUAAUUGUAAAUGCUAUUUUGUGUGCGCACUUCGUAGGCACGUUUUGGCCUGGCUGUGCGCUGCGGUGCUCCACUCUCCGGCGGUCAACGCUCUGGUGCACCGGGACUCUACUGCUGUCUUGUUUGGGCUGUCUUGUAUUGCUGUGUAUGCUGCCUUGUCAAUUAGUUUAUCUAUUGUUUUGCAUGUCGCAUGUGUUGCACAGCCGCAUUUAUAUUGUUGGCUCCCACUGUGGCCGCAAUUACGCCACUGUUUAUUUUAUCCUGUUUGUUAUCGCCAGUGACUACUAUAAGUGCCGUGCUGUGAUUGGCUGAUCUCCCGCACCAUUGUACGCGGGGACGAACUGCAAUUGGCCCACUUUUGGGUCAGUCCCAGUAAACCCUGAUUUAUUUUAUUUAUUUACUUGGUGUUGUAUAUUAUGAAUAUUGUGUUUUGAGUUUAUUAUAAUUUGCUCUGCUUUAUUUUUGUUUUCUUUCUUAAUGUUUUUGUGUGCUUAUGUUUGGUUUGUGUGAGGUUUAAGUGUGUUUAAUUCAUUGUUUAUUCCUUUGGUUGUUUUGAGUUUUUUUUCUUUAUUGUAAUUGCUUUGAUUUCCUAUGCAUACUGGUACUGGUGACCCUAAGUGAUAUUGUUGUAGUGGCCAUAUUACAGUAUUUGAAAAGACCUGUCACUGUUUGUAUUCUACCUUGUUAAUAUUGUGAAAAAUAAAUCUAUUUUUAUAUUGA